UGCAGAUUCAAUGCAAUCCUUAUCAAAGUACCAAUGACAUUUUUUGCAGAAAUAGAAAAAACAAUCCUAAAAUUGAUAUGCAACCACAAAGGAACCCGGAUAACCAAACCAAUCCAGACCAAAAAGAACAAAGCUGGAGGCAUCACACUACUUGACUUCAAAAUAUAUUACAAGGCUAUGGUAAUCAAAACAGCAUGGUAUUGGUAUGAAAACAGACACAAAGACCAAUGGAACAGAAUAGAGAACGCAGAAAUAAAUCCACAUGUUUACAGACAAAACUGAUUUUCAACAAAGGCACCAAGAACGUACGUUGGAGAAAGGACAUCCUCCUCAAUAAAUGGUAUUGGGAAAAUUGGAUAUGCAUAUGCAGAAGAAUGAAACUGCAUCUCUGUCUCUCAUCAUAUACAGACAUCAACUCAAGAUCAAUUAAAGACUUAAAUGUAAGAUCUGAAACUAUAAAAGUACUAGACAAAAACCUGGGGGAAACACUUUAGUACAUUGGUCUAGGCAAAUAUUUUAUGGCUAAGACCUUAAAAGCACAGACAACAAAACCGAAAAUAGACAAAUGACCAAUAUGUGUGUCCACCACAGAGUCCAGGGCCUUUCCUCUGCAACACCUUGUCAGCGUCAGUACUUUCUUCAUUCCUCUGUAGCCUUUCUCACCUCCCUAUACUUGGGGAGUCUAAAUGGCACUACUUUAUGAGUGUCUGUAGAGCAAUACUUAUCAAGGCCUACAUAGGCACACACGCUUUGUGCUAGCAUUUCCUUUUAUAUGUUUAUCUUCAGGACUUAGUGAAGAAUGUUGAUUAAAAUCUGGUUACAAGUACUGCCAUCCUGAUAUUUCCCUUUUUUCACUUUUGGGCUUGAAUUUAGAAAGGGAGACGAAAUGAGAUGCAAAGACACAAGCCAGAAGGAAGUAAAGGGAAAUGUGGUUGUCAGCACACACAUACACUCACACUCUCUCUCUCACACACACACACUCACUCCUACAUCAACCAGGUUCUGUUAUCACAAUACUACAAUUCUCUCAACAUAGUUGUUGGGCUCCAAGGGGACCCAUUCAGCUCACCAGAGCAAAUAGCCAUGGGAACUCUGCCCUGGAUUACAACCACUACCAGUGCACAGACUCUGAAAAGAUGCUAUCCAUGUCGUGUAGAUAAUAGGGAAUAUUGGAACACUCUGAAUAAUAUGGGGUUGUGAAAAUUGAUUAUGUCACAUCCACAGUAUGAAAUUUCAGAAGAGAGCAAAAAUGAGUUAUAUUGAAACAAUGAUGAGAGAUGAUUUUUUUUGCCUAUCAGAUUAGUAAAGAUUCACAUUAUUUCUAAUAUGAGCAGAAAGGAACUUUCACACUGGAAUAUUAGUAGUAUAAUGCUUUUAUUAAAAGUAUUUUGAUUUCAGAUAAAUGCAUGGGGGCAAGAUGGCAGAUAGGAGGCAGGACCAGCUUGCAGCUCCUGCUGAGAUGGACAGAGCAGCAUGUGGAGACUCGUACUGUAAACCUUUGCUCCAAGAAGUACUGCAGGAACAUACCAGGAAAGCUGAGAGAAUCCACAGACCCUUUGAAGAAACUGGAUCACUGUUGCAGGCCCCCUGAGAUGCCGAAAAACUCCUUUUCAGCCUGGUUAGGAAACAUUGCUGGGGAACUAGUGCAGUGAUUUGGAGCUGUGCUCUCUCUCUCUCAGUGCUCUGAGAGUGUAGGCUCCUUUCCCACUCAAGUGCUGGCUGCAGAUCUGGGUUUGGCACUCCUGGACGUCAUACUACAGCCCCGGGUCCAAGGACAUCGAGCACAGUACCUUUGCAGUGGCAGUGUCAGAGGGACUUUCAGUUGUCUCUGGGAGCCCCACCUCACAGAAAUGCAGAGCGUCUGCUAAUGCAAGUGUUCAGCCAGAGGGUGAGGUGGCUGUGCCAUGGGCCUGAGCUGGGAGCCCUUCUUGGUGAAGAGUAAAGGGUCAGGGACUCACACGAAAGGGAGACUGAGUUCCUCUCCAUAUGGUGACUAUGGCAUGCUAGAGACAUGAGUAAUGCCCUCAGGCUCUUUGUUCCUUCCCCAGUCCAAAGACAACAAGGUCAAAACCACUGCAGUGGCAGUGGUAAAGGGGCUGUCUGUUGCCACUGGGAACUCCACCCCAGGGAAACACAGAACCACUGCCAGUGGGAAUGCUUAGUUGGGGGUGGCGUAGCUGCCCUGUAGUCCCAAGCCAGGGGCCUUGCCUGUUGAAGAGUAGGGAGCGAGGCCUCACAGGGAAGACAGACUGGGCUCCUCCCCAUAUGGUGGCUGUGGUGUGCUGGUGGUGCCAGCAAUGCGACCUGGACCUUUGUUCCUUCCCCAGCCCAAAGGCAGUAAGGGCAGUACCACUGCAGCUGCAAUGAGAGGGGCUGUGGGUUGUCUCUGUGAUUUCCUCCCUAGAGAAUGACAGAGCUGCCACUGACUUAAAUGUUUGGGCGGGGACAAGGUGGUUGUUCUGGGGGCCUGGGUAGAGAGACCCUGCCCACUGAGGAGUAACAGGGCCAGGGCCCAUGUGGAAGAGAGUCUGCCUUCUUAUCUAAAAAGCAGCUGCACUGUGCUGGAGGAUUGCAUUAGUCCUAAGUCUUUUGGCUCCCUCCUGAGCCUGAGGGAAACAGGAGCAGGAGCUGCAGAGCAGCAAAAAUGGCAGACCUGCCUGCUACAAUUGAGAGCUCUGUCCCAGGGAAGUACAGAUCCCCCAGGGGGAUCUGCUACUGGCCCAAGAGCCCAGACAUGGGUGGGGUGGCUGGAGUCCCAAGUCUGGAGGCCCUGCCCAGUAAGAAGUAGUGGGGACAGAGAUCUAUGUGGAAAAAAGUCUGGCCACUUUUCUGUAAGGCAGCUGUGCUGUGCUGGGGGCCUGCAUUAGUCCUUAAUCACCCUGCCAAGACUGGGGGACCCGUCUGCUACCACUGAGAGCUCCAUUCCAGGGAAAUACAGGGCUGCUAUUGGCUCUAGAGCUCAAGUGAGGCUGGAGUGGCCAUGCUAGGGACCCAGCCAAGUGGGCAUUAUCCAGCAAGGUGCAAUGGAGGUGAGGCCUGCAGUCCAUCUGCUCCUCAGCCCCGUGGAUUUAGCCCCUAUACUGGAGGCAUUCCAGGGAGCCUGGCCUCUCUUGUUGCCAGAGCUACAGCCACUGGUGCUGGGGUGCCCAGCAGUCCAAGGGCCCUGGAGCUCCAUGUGUGCCUGAGCAGUGGCUCUGCCUAGACUCCAUGUAGCUCUCCAUGUCAGUCUGCAGGCUCUGCUCAGGGAGUCAAGGGGAUCUUCUGAGCACAGGGUUGUGAAGAUCUGUAGCAGAAGCUUUAGUGAAAUUUCAGACAUUAACAACAAAGUUUCCCUGAUUUAUUUAACUUCUCCUAACUUUCUAUAACCUGAUAUAAAAUGGACAUUUAAUUAUAAAUUACUUGAGUAAAGGUUAAGAUUAAUGAAAAUACUACUCAAGUAACUUAUAAUUAAAUGCCCAUUAUCAUCAUCAGCAUCAUCAUCUAAAGGGGUUAUUGAGUAGGCAUCCAUGGGGUGGUGUGAAAUGACCAGCCCCUAAGCCUUGGUGGCCCAUUAUCUACAGAAGAUAUCACUGGGCACAUUAAAUGUUUCCCAAUCUUCUUUCGUUAUCCAAAGGAGCCUUAUUAGACAUGUUUUUCCUCCUUAUUAGUCCCUUCUUGCCUGAAAUGUGAAAUUUUAAUACCACAGAUAUAGUGUUAACUGUUUAUGUAUUUUGGUCCUAUGUAGUGCCACAAACCAUUUUAAUGUCUACUAUCUCCCUACCCUUAAAAACCAAUUCUCAGCCCCUUGGGGGCAAUAUAUCCUCUGUUGAAAAUGCAUGGAACAUUUUAAAGAGGACAAAAGCUGGAACCUCAUUCCUGCCUUUUACUUGAUGUGUGACACUGGAAAACUUCCUUAACCUCUGUCAGCUUGCCCAUGGUCAUCCGGAAAAGGGAACCACUGAGAGCUCAUGAUGUGUUACUUACAGAACUGUCCUGUGGGGUAAAUGAGAAAUCCUAUACAGAGAAGAUGGCACCUAGAGAAAUCCUAUACAGAGAAGAUGGCACCUAGUCUUCAACAAAUAUUCAUCCUGGCCCACUUUUCUUCUCCUUCCCAGAGAAGUGAUGACUGUCAUCUAAACCAAACAGCAUAACUACCACAGAGACCAGCUGGUAAUGGAGCAGGAAGAAGUAGCAUAUACUUACAUUUAGUUUAUAAAUGAAGCUUUGGGGCUAUUUCUGUGAUGCAGGAUGGCUUUGCCAAGGAAUGUGGGAAGAGGGAAAAGAUCAUCAAACCAUUUCUUUAAUUCUGUGUCAUUUUUGCCCCAUUAUUUGAGCUUCUAUACUGAUAUUGGAAAAAUAGUUUCCUAUGGAGUGUCAAAUAAAGAAAGAGUGCAGAUAAAGAGGAGAGAGAAGUCACAUGCCCUUGACCCUCAUACCAUUACCACCUACAGGACUCUGAACCAGAAUUUCAUCUGCACCAGUGGGUAAUUCAAAGUGGGAGGAGUUGUUGAAUGUGUAUCCAUGAAGGCACAAUACUACAAACGUGUAAAACUACUAGGUUUUAAAUCCUAGAAUGUCAUGGUGUAUAAAAUAUUGAUAAUUAUUGCUUUGGUUUUGAAUUAGGGGAAAAUAUAUCCUCGUAUACUUGGAAGUGGCUCCCUCAGUAUCUUUUAUUCUUGAGCUUCAGGGAUAUUCUUCAUUCUAAAUGUGUAUCUCUUUCCUGUGGGUGGGGUAAGGAAUGCUUGAAUGUUCCUGACAAUGUUUUUGUAUAAUUGCAGGAGCAUUUGAUAUUUAUUACAGUUAUAAAUACAUAAGAAAUGAAAUAAACAGCAUUACUCUAAAACAAAAGAGAAUACCUGCUCUCAAAAUAUCUUGAGUAUUUCAAAGAGAAUACCUGCUAAUGCUUAUAUCUGUAUAAUAUUCUUUCACAAAUUUUCUUAUGCAGGUACUUAUAAAUUUAUGCAGAAAUGAAUACAUUUAUAUACUUAUCUACAAAAUAUAAGAUCUCAUUCUACAUUUAGUUUUAUAACCUGCUUGUCUCACUAAAACCAUACCUCAAAGGUCAUUGGUUGUGAGUAAAUAUGAGUCUUUACCACAGAGAUAGUAAAUACUAAUGGCCAAUAAAGACAGAGAAACAAAUAUGGCUACAAUAUGUUAUGUGCCAAGUGCUUUUUAGCUACUGAGUCGUUCAAUUCUCACGGCACCCUUACAAGGUUGAAACUGUUGCUGAUCUCCAUUUUGUAGAUGGAAAACUAAGGAGCAGAUAGAAUAAAAAUUUUACCUGAGACUGCACAGUUAGGGAGUGCGACAGCUUGGAUUUAUGUUCAGUACAUCAUGCUCCAGAGCCUGGGAAACUGUCAAGGCUCUGUUGUUAGGUGAAAGAAGCAACUACACAAGCAUGCAUAUUUUAGGAGCUCAUUAAAAGUAAUACUUCACAGGUUAAUACAUUUACACAAAAAACUGGACCUGGUGACAAAUAGGUGGAUUGCAACCUUGGUAAGAUCAUGUUCAUUGCAAUCCUGGCGACAGAAGCCACAGUGCAGGGGGAAGUGAAGAAUUUUAACAGGAAAUGUAGAAAACUCUCUUUGGUAGUUUAACUUUGAAGGGAAAGAGAUGGAGAUUCUGGCUGAAUGGGGAGAUUUUAAAAAAUAAUCAAUUUCUUGAAACUUGAGAAGGUUUUAAAAUGAAGAUACUUAGGGGUUUUGCUAAAUGAGAAGAUUUUAGCUGUUCUUGCCAUGCACAAAAAAAUGGGUAACUAUGUGGUAUUAUGAAUAUAUUUAUUUUCUUCACUAUAUAGUAACUAAUACUUUACUUUCUGUAUGUAUCUUAGAACAUCAUAUUGCAUAUCUUAAAUAUAGACAAUAAAUGUAUUUUUAAAAGUUAACGUGAUGAAGCUAUCUUAUCUCAGAUUUAACACUAGAAAUUGCUCAUUUUUUUUUUUUGGCUGGAGUACAGUGUUGCGAUCAUGGCUCACUGCAGCUUCAACCUCCUGGGGCUCCUGUGAUCCUCCCAGCUCAGCUUCCCGAGUAGCUGGGACCACAGGUGCAUAUCAACACACCCAGUUAAUUUUUUUUGUUUGUUUAUUUUUGUAGAGACGGGAGUCUCUUUAGGUUGCCCAGGCUGGUCUCGGACUCCUGGGCCCAAGUGAUCCUCCCACCUCGACCUCUUAAUGUGCUGGGAUUAUAGGUGUGAGCCACUUCACCCAGCACAUUUUCUUUCUUACGCUCUUAUUUUCACUUUAGAGCUCAUGAGAGGCCUCUAAUCGACUAGUAUGAGUUUUGAGCUAAAUAUGUAUUUAGUUAUUAGUGAGAAAAUGGACAAUGGGCAAUUGUGAGUCAAAUAAAUGCUAAAUUUUUGCCUCUCCAAGAAGGCAGCAGGUGGCUGAAAUCCUGGUGUGAUAUGGCUGAAUAAUGCAUGAUCUGAGGACCCUGUACUGGUUACUCCUGUACACGUUCACAAUUUUUCUGUAAAUGUAUUAAUAUACUGAGCAGUCCAGGAGCAGCCAUUAGGCAAACACCACUCCUUGCUUCCUUCAUGUGACCUAUCACUGAGCUCACCAGCUGAGGUCAAUUACAUUCUUCCCAACCUGGAGAACAGAAUUUGGGUCUGCUCAGAGGCAUGAUGUGAAACAUGUCUGGGAUAAAAGCUUUGUUCUAUUGACAGCAAACCUUUUUGUGUUAAGGGGUAGGGGAAGAGCAAGUGAAGGAUGCAGAUUAAUUUCUAUUUAGGAAUAUACUUUUAUAUAUUGUUUGAAAUUUUGUCUUUUAAAAAUAUUCAUACAAAUUUAAACAAAAAAUUACUUGUGAACAGAUUGACAAAUGUCAUGUGCACACAUAUUUAUUAAUUUGAAAAAGCAUUCACUGUGUUAAAUUUAUGGUGAAAUAAAGUUGAUUAAACUUUGAAA
rnacentral:lncRNA from 1 species